GCCAGCAUGAUUUAGUGGUGUGAAUUUUGGGACUACAACUCUAGAGACCAGGGUUCGAUUCCCAGUUUGACC